rnacentral:ncRNA from 1 species
AACAGGGAUUGCCUCAGUAACGGCGAGUGAAGCGGCAAAAGCUCAAAUUUGAAAUCUGGCUCCUUCGGGGCCCGAGUUGUAAUUUGUAGAGGAUGCUUCGGGCGUGGCCGCGGUCUAAGUCCCCUGGAACGGGGCGUCGCAGAGGGUGAGAAUCCCGUCUUCGGCCGGCCGGCUUCGCCCAUGUGAAGCUCCUUCGACGAGUCGAGUUGUUUGGGAAUGCAGCUCUAAAUGGGUGGUAAAUUUCAUCUAAAGCUAAAU